rnacentral:rRNA from 1 species
UACGUAGGGGCGAGCGUUACCCGGAAUCACUGGGCGUAAAGGGAGCGUAGGUGGCCUGACAUGUCGACUGUGAAAACCCGGAGCUCAACUCCGGACUUGCAGUUGAAACUGCCAGGCAUGAGGACGGUAGAGGAAGACGGAACUGCCAGUGUAGGGGUAAAAUCCUUAGAUAUUGGCAGGAACGCCGGUGACGAAGGCGGUUUUCUGGGCCGGUUCUGACACUGAUGCUCGAAAGCCAGGGGAGCGAACGGGAUUAGAUACCCUCGUAGUCCCUGAGCGGGCU